UCAAGAUCAAUCGAAAGCCGAAAGUUAUGACAAAAUUGAAAACAAGUUGAAACUAGAUAUCAAGGAUGCUUCCAAAGUAAAAAACGAUGACCAAAAUGAAGCCAAAACUGCCGCCAAAGAUGGCGAUCAGAAAGCUGAGGCGGAAGCAGAUGGUAAAGCUAAGGAUGAAGCUGAAAAGAUGGCAGGAGAAGAAUCUCAAUAUAAAGAUGAUGCAACAAACCAAGCAAACACAUACAAUGAAGCAGAGAAAAAAGCUGACGCCAUCGUCCAGAACAAAGAUGAUGCCAAAAUUGAAGCUCAAGCCCAAGCCGAUAAUGAAGCCAAAGCUAAAGAUGAUGCUCUAGCUGAAUCGAAAAUCGCUGUUAAAGCUUUAGAUGCCGCCAAAGAUGUAGCUAAAUUUGACUCCGAGGUUGAGAAAAAAGAGAAAGAAGAAGCUGAUUCUGAUGCCAAGAAUGCAACCAAAGACCAAGCCGAAGCUGACAAUGAAGGAAAAAUUGAGAAAAAAGAGGAAAACAAGGCCGAAGAGGAGGCCAAAGAUGAAGCUAAAGAUCAAGCCGAUGUAAAAAACGAUGCUAACGCAGAAGAAGAAGCUAAAGCCAAAGAGCAAAACGCUAACAAUGCUGAAGCCACACUUAAAAGUGAAGCCAAUGAGGAUGCUAAAGCUGAAUUUGAUGACAAAUCUAAAGCAAAAGAUGAUGCUAAAGCCAAGGAUGCGGCCGAAGAAGAAGCAAAGGAUGAUGAAAAAGCUAAGGACAAAGCGUUGGAUGAUGCAAAGACCAAAUCCAAAGAUGAAGCCGAAGCUGAUUCUGAAGCUAAAGAUGAUGCAGAUGCAGCAACUAAAGAAGAAAAUGAGGCUAAAACUGAU
rnacentral:lncRNA from 1 species